UAGUGAGUACUAUGUAAAAACAGUAGAUUUAGAGGGUUAUAUCGUACCUUUUGUAUCAUGAUUUUUUGAUGGGAUUUAUAUUAUUUGUAUUUCCCGAAAGAUUUACGAUUUUAUUUAGUUUAAUCUUUUAGCUAGAGAUUUAGUUAAUGGGGUUAGGGAAUAUUAGGUGAAUAUCCUGAAAAAUUAAAUAAGGAGUGAUAAAUAAUUCGUGUAGUCUUAUAUCUGGUUAGUGACUUGAAUUUCGAAAUGUGUGGAUUAUUGGGUGUGCUGGUUAUCUAGGACAGAGAUUUAUAUAGUUGGGUGAUUAGGAGUUGACUGAGAUUAAAAUUGUCUUUGAUUAAAUAAGUCAUUUACUUGGCUUGAUGAAAUUUGGGAAUAUCUUGUUUAGAAUGGGUCAUUUAUUUAAAUUAGUUGUAUAAAAAUGAAAGAAUAAGUAGGAUUAUUAUAUAGGUGGAAUAGUUGUUUUUUUUUUCGGUGAUUGCUUUCAACUGUUUAUUAAAAACAUUGCUAUUUGUUUAAGAAAUAAAUAGUAUGACCUGCCCAAUGAACAGAUAUAUGAAUGGCCGCAGCUUUUCGCUGUGCUAAGGUAGCAUAAUAUAUAGUUUUUUAAUUGGGGACUUGUGAAUGGUUUAAUGAAAGGUGUCUAAGAUGAUAAUUAUUUCUGAAAUUAAUUUAGUGGUAAAGAAUCCAUUAUUUAAAUAUAGGACGGAAAGACCCCAAGAGCUUUACGAUAUUUUGUUUUAUUUGGGGUAAAUGUUGAUUAUUCAUUUAUUUUAAGAUCCUAAAGGAUAAAGGGUAAAGUUACCUUGGGGAUAACUGAGUAAAGAAUGGGGAGAGGUCAAAUUGAUCCAUUUGUUACUACCUCGAUGUUGGCUUGUUGGACCUUUUCGGUGUAGAGGCUGAAUAAAGGAAGUCUGUUCGACUUUU
rnacentral:rRNA from 1 species